UUUGUGUGUGUGUGUGUGUCUCAGUGUGUGUUUGUGCACAAACACACACUGAGACACACACACACACAGACA
rnacentral:miRNA from 1 species